rfam:Ricinus communis cultivar Hale ctg_1100012357488, whole genome shotgun sequence.
AAACCGUGGUGUGAGCAACAUCUCAGCAAGUCCUUAUACCUCUCCCACGCAUCAUACAUAUUCUCAUCAUCAAACUGCACAAAAAAAGAAAUGUCAUUAUGCAUCU